GAUGAACGCUGGCGGCGUGCCUAAUACAUGCAAGUAGAACGCUGAAGGAGGAGCUUGCUCUUCUGGAUGAGUUGCGAACGGGUGAGUAACGCGUAGGUAACCUGCCUGGUAGCGGGGGAUAACUAUUGGAAACGAUAGCUAAUACCGCAUGACAACAGUUAUUGCAUGAUAACUGUUUAAAAGGGGCAACUGCUCCACUACCAGAUGGACCUGCGUUGUAUUAGCUAGUUGGUGAGGUAACGGCUCACCAAGGCGACGAUACAUAGCCGACCUGAGAGGGGGAUCGGCCACACUGGGACUGAGACACGGCCCAGACGCCUACAGGAGGCAGCAGUAGGGAAUCUUCGGCAAUGGACGGAAGUCUGACCGAGCAACGCCGCGUGAGUGAAGAAGGUUUUCGGAUCGUAGAGCUCUGUUGUAAGAGAAGAACGAGUGUGAGAGUGGAAAGUUCACACUGUGACGGUAUCUUACCAGAAAGGGACGGCUAACUACGUG
rnacentral:rRNA from 1 species